CACCACACAUUGAGAUCGGAGACACCGGGUUCCGAGAUCCUACAGAAGUGACCAUCGUAUCGAAUUCUCUCGCACAUCGAGCAAAGACUGCAACCGAGCCAACACCGCGUGAGAGAUAGUAUAGUUUUCAGGAUCUGCAAAAUCUGUGAAUUAGGGAAGAGAUAUAAGUGUCAAGAUAACUCUGCACAGUCUCGUGAGCGUAUCACUAUUCAGAGAGACCCCACGGUAAAUAUGUGUCCAGCCGCACGCCGGUAAUAUCGUGGGGGGUGCACAGCGCUAUCUCCGAAUAUUUUGGCGUGUAAGCGCGCGUGUAGCGGUGUUUUUAUAGUGUGAGGUGAGAAGCCCCCGGGUCUCCACGUGUGAGAGGUGUCAUGAGAACUGGGAGACUCGAGAGCACAGAGAGAAAAAGAGGAAAUUUCCCGUGUGGCGCUGAAAAGUGCAGAGAUAUGGAGGAACACCACUGGGGAGGACGAGUCUCUGGUGUGUAAAUGACGCUGAUGUGUGAAAGCGUGGGGAUCACACACGAUAAGAUAUCCCGGUAGUGUACGCGCUAAAAGAUGAGUGUGAUGUGUUAGGGGGUGUCUGCCCCCUAGUGCUGCAGCUAACGCAUUAAGCACUCCGCCCGGGGAGUACGACCGCAAGGUUGAAACUCAAAGGAAUUGACGGGGACCCGCACAAGCGGUGGAGCAUGUGGUUUAAUUCGAAGCAACGCGAAGAACACUACCAAAUAUUGACAUCCUUUGACCACUCUAGAGAUAGAGAUUUCCCCCUUGGGGGACAAAGUGACAGGUGGUGCAUGGUUGUGUUCAGCUCUUGUGUUGAGAUGUUGGGUUAAAUCCCGCAACGAGCGCAACCCCUAAAAGUAGUUGCCAGCAUUUAGUUGGGCACUCUAGGUUUACUGCCGGUGACAAACCCGAGGAAGGGGGGGAGGAGGUCAAAUCAUCAUGCCCCCCAUGAGAUGGGGGACACACGUGUUACAAAAGACACUACAAAAAGGGGCUAAAACCCGAGGUCAUGCAAAUCUCCCAAAAUUGUUUUCUCUGUUGAGAGUGGUCUGCAAAUCUAGUACAUAAAAAGGGAAUAUCUAGUAAUAGUAGAUAAGCAUGUUACGGGGAAAACGUUCCCGGGUGUUGUACACACCGCCCCUCACACCACAAGAGUUUUAACACACGAAGCCGGUGGAGAAAACACAUAUGGAGCUAGCCGUCGAAGGUGGGACAAAUGAUGGGGGAAGUCGAAUCAAGAGCAGCCC
rnacentral:rRNA from 1 species